GAUUAACGCUAGCGGCAGGCCUAACACAUGCAAGUCGAGGGGCAUCAUAAAACAAGCUUGCUUGUUUGGUGGCGACCGGCGCACGGGUGCGUAACGCGUAUGCAACCUACCCUGUACUGGGGGAUAGCCCGGAGAAAUUCGGAUUAAGACCCCAUAGUAUUCUUGAAUGGCAUCAUUUGAGGAUUAAAGUUUACGGUACAGGAUGGGCAUGCGUCCUAUUAGCUAGAUGGUGAGGUAACGGCUUACCAUGGCAACGAUAGGUAGGGGGCCUGAGAGGGUGGUCCCCCACACUGGUACUGAGACACGGACCAAACUCCUACGGGAGGCAGCAGUGAGGAAUAUUGGUCAAUGGGCGCAAGCCUGAACCAGCCAUGCCGCGUGCAGGAAGACGGUCCUAUGGAUUGUAAACUGCUUUUAUUUGGGAAUAAACCUCUUUACGUGUAGAGAGCUGAAGGUACCAAAUGAAUAAGCACCGGCUAACUCCGUGCCAGCCGCCGCGGUAAUAC
rnacentral:rRNA from 1 species